rnacentral:rRNA from 1 species
GUCGAGCGAACGGACGAGAAGCUUGCUUCUCUGAUGUUAGCGGCGGACGGGUGAGUAACACGUGGAUAACCUACCUAUAAGACUGGGAUAACUUCGGGAAACCGGAGCUAAUACCGGAUAAUAUUUUGAACCGCAUGGUUCAAAAGUGAAAGACGGUCUUGCUGUCACUUAUAGAUGGAUCCGCGCUGCAUUAGCUAGUUGGUAAGGUAACGGCUUACCAAGGCAACGAUGCAUAGCCGACCUGAGAGGGUGAUCGGCCACACUGGAACUGAGACACGGUCCAGACUCCUACGGGAGGCAGCAGUAGGGAAUCUUCCGCAAUGGGCGAAAGCCUGACGGAGCAACGCCGCGUGAGUGAUGAAGGUCUUCGGAUCGUAAAACUCUGUUAUUAGGGAAGAACAUAUGUGUAAGUAACUGUGCACAUCUUGACGGUACCUAAUCAGAAAGCCACGGCUAACUACGUGCCAGCAGCCGCGGUAAUACGUAGGUGGCAAGCGUUAUCCGGAAUUAUUGGGCGUAAAGCGCGCGUAGGCGGUUUUUUAAGUCUGAUGUGAAAGCCCACGGCUCAACCGUGGAGGGUCAUUGGAAACUGGAAAACUUGAGUGCAGAAGAGGAAAGUGGAAUUCCAUGUGUAGCGGUGAAAUGCGCAGAGAUAUGGAGGAACACCAGUGGCGAAGGCGACUUUCUGGUCUGUAACUGACGCUGAUGUGCGAAAGCGUGGGGAUCAAAC